ensembl:lncRNA
CCUGGAGAUAUCAGCCAAUAGAUAUCAGCGACCCCAGCCCCGCCUCCAAACUGUCAAAACCACCCCUUUCAAAACUCGAGCACAAAAAACUCAGUCAAGCUGCUGCAGGUAAAUCAAAGAAAGAGGAGAAAAAUGAAGCUCGAGAGCAACAUUUUCUUCACAUUUGUGCUCACAAGAAGUUCAUUUACAGACGCAAAAUGUUAAAACACGCUGGUUAAUUUGUUUCACCUGGUAUUUUUGCACCCAUGACUUUUGACAUUGAUGUGACGCCAUAGAAAUCACUUAAAUAGAACCCGUCUGACAACAUGAAGCAGAUAAAAGAUCUCAAAAAGCAACAUAUUAUGAAGAAAUUUUAACAUUUUGUCUUUCUGCAGUUGUUGGAACCUUAAAAUGCAGACGAAGGAGCUCCCCCCGCCGUACCCUGGUGGUCCCCUUCAGAUGCCGGGGUACGCUCCACAGACAGUGGUCCAGCCUGACAUGACAGUCAUUCAGAACGCCCCUACUGCUGUGAUGGUCGGACCAGCGCAGCCCGUCAUGUACCAGCAUGCGGUCCAGCCAUCCGUAACCGUCAUCCAGCCCGCGGUUCAGCCGGGAGUCACAGUCGUAACUCCUGUAGGUGAGUGAUGUCCAAAAGUCCAAAAAUCUGUUGACCCCCCUGAAUCGAGAAGGAAUGAAUCCCUAAUAUUAGUAAAAAUUUAGCACUUAUGUUCAUUUAUGACCAAUUCAUUCACAAAGACUCCCCCUAUCACUAGUGAUGCCCCAACACCAGAAGACUAGCACAUGCCUCCUCCGAUACAUGUAGAUACAAGUCAGACGCCACCUCUUUUUUUUAUGUAGUUUUACAGUGCGCUCGGAGGAAAGCGCAAUGACUCGGUUCUGAUACAUCAGCUCACAGACGCAGCCUUGUGCUGAUCCACAUCACCCUAGGAGUGAUAAGUGGAAAGAGCACCAUCUACUGUACCCACCCAGAGAGAGCAAGACCAAUUGUGCUCUCUCAGGGCUCCGGCUGCUGAUGAUGGCAAGCUGCAUGACCGGGAUUCGAACCAGCAAUCUUCUGAUUAUAGUGGCAGUGCUUUAGACCAUUGGACCAUUUCUUUAUUUAACGUAUUUCCAAUGUUGUAGAUUAAUUUUAAAGACAUGAAAACUAUUAAGGAACACAUAUAGAAUUGUGAAGAAAACGAUAAAAGAAAGUGUUAUUCCGUCACAUUAAUCCUCUGAUCUAAACCUGAUGAACUGUGAUGGUGAGUUGAGGUGAUUUAAUUGGGAUGAGCUGGAGCUUCACAGCAUGAAAGAAAAAGCAGCAACUAUUGUUCAGCACCUCCAGGAACUCCUUCCUUCAAGAUGCUGAGAAAACUAUUCCAGUUGAUUCUCCCUCAUGAAGACACUGAGAUUAAAAUCUCACCAAGAGUGAGCAGAUCUGUCCUCAAAGAUACAUGUGAUACUUAGAAGAAUCUGAAGAACGCUUUUUUUUACUAAAUAAUACUGCACGUGUUCCUUUACAGCUUUGAUAUAGUCUUUAAUAUUGAAUUAACAAUGUAGAAAAAUCAUGAAAAUUAAGAAAACAUAUUGAAUACAUUGAAAACACAUUCAAUACCAGGGGGGUAAUAAACAGGGGGUAUAUAUACA